CACGGCCCUCAGGUUGCAACACUGGUGAACAAGUCAGAAUGGUUAAUGGACAGAAAUGGACCUGACUCACGAGAGACUUGCAUGAAUAUGUGGGCCCUCAGGAGUGUUGCUUCCAGCCACACAGCAAACUACCCCGUUCCCGACAAACAACAAGUGAACCAAAGCUCUCCCCCCAUCCCAAAGCACCAGACACUUACAGCUCCAACACAGGGCAAAGCAGUCCACGAUCAAAAUCAGUUAACUGGACAAAAUUGAGUAAUCCAUCCGCCUGCUCUCUGGAUCGACUUCAGUUCAAAUGCUUGGAAUGCUGGACAGAUCCACUCCUCGGGGAUACAAUAGAUCCUGGAACCAAGCUUUUGCAGCUGGGCUGCCCUCCCUCACUUGGAUGCAUCAACAAAGCGUGAAGUGGCCACUCUAAUCUGGCUUUCAGUGAGCUCCAUGGUAACAGACUUCAUCCUCCUGCUGACAUUACAUCAUGCUGAUCGGUGCAGCGAAGGCCGGCUUUUUGAAAUACCUUCAGAAGAAAAGGGCUUGUGACCUGUACCCGGAAGGAUACCGCCAUGAGUCUGCCAGUCCAUGCCGAGGGACGUGACAGAGCUGCAGUAAAUUACGCUCUCGGGAUGAGAACGGGUUGGUCAACCGCGUCCUUCAAAGGAGACUGAAGUGAGGCACUCUGAAAUGAGACAGUCUUGCACAAAGAGAACUUACCGGCUACGUCACCAUUUCCGAAUUCUGGGAUCCGUUUUGUGAACGGGCAAGCAUUGGCUGCAACGGAAGGUGUUGACAAAUCAAAUUCAAUCUCUCUUACGCUGCUGCGCAGUGAUGCAUUUUGACAACAACCAGUUGACUAAUGCACACUCUGGAGGAUCCAGCCUGUGGACUGGAACAGCUAUAGUCAGCGCUGACUGCACUAUGUGCAUCCCUUGUGCACCCUGCACUGAGAACCAGCCUGAGACAUGAUCACAGUGAGGAAAACAGAUUUAAAUCUCAUCACUUAAUCUCACUGUUAGACGGCUUUCUCCCAACAUUAAACUCCAGAAAAAGAUCAAAUCCAGAUAAAAUCAACAAUUUUACAUCACAGCACACAUGAGUUGUUGAUCUACUGCUGUCUCCAUGUCCUGUACAUUUUAGUUGGCACUACAGUUUUUUUCCUUAAAUAAUGAUUAGGUCCAUAAGUAUUUAUUCACCUUUAAUAUACAGUAUCAUGCCAUGCCAUUCAAUAGUCUUUUAUUAUGCCGUCACACAUUAUAGUUACAUAUAUAAUUGACUUAUACUGUAUUUAGAGGAAAGAGAAUCAGUAUCGAUGUAAUUAAAAUAUAUUAGAGUAGAAAAACGAAAUAAUUGGUUUAGUGUUUAACAUUAUCAAAUGUACUUCAGGAUAAUAUGCAUUCAUUCCUGUCCCCACAGAGCCAAGGUGCCACCAUCCUCUGCCUCUCUCAUGACAUGUUUACAUCUGAUGCUUCUACAUAUUAAACCAGUACAUGGCUUAUUAAUAGAAUUUAUGUGCCAUAUACCGUCUUGUCAGCAAUAGCCUGCCUAAUUAUCCAGGCUGAAUGUUAUUGGUUCGCUUUAUUAAUGGUCCAUGGCAUUGUCAGGGACAACCAAUAAAUAUGGCACUGGGGAUUCCACCACGUGAAAUGGGAAUAUUUCAUUCUUUUAAUGAAGCUCUGUCAAUGCUCAGAGCACACACCCUUAUGUAAAUAUGCAUAUGAUCCUUCAAAGACAUAUUAUGCAAAGGAUGGGCAAGUGAUGGUAGCUUACUUCCUUUUACAGCUGAGGAGCUGCUUUGAGCCACCGCGGUCCCUCAUCAUAAGAAAAACAAUAGCAUUGAUACAGAUAAGCUUUACCGCAUCCUUUUUUUUAUCACAAUGAUAUUGUUCGCUGUGUGGAUUUAAUGAGCACCACGGGGCCCUGGCAUGACCUAACUAUCAUUUUGAGGGUAACCAAUCCCAUUGGAAUUAAAGGGAAAAGCUUACAUUACAGAUACAGGCAUUUACAGCAACGGGUCAAGGCAUCAAAGUGGCACCCUUGUUUUUUUUUCGCACCCUUCACUGGAACAUAAUGGAAAAUCAAACUUCAUUAUCAGUACAUCGAGCCGUAAAAGACAAAUGUGUGUGUUACUGCUCACACUAUGAUUUCCACUGUGUUUUAUGUGCUCCCUCAGGAGAUGUUCUGGCUUGUUGCAGAUCAACCAUAAAUCCCAAACUUGGUCUGUUUUCUUUUUUUCUUUUUUCUUUUUUUAUCAGACAGGGAGGCUGCUGUCUGCCUGAAAAUUGACCAUGGCUCAGGGCUGGAUAGAGACCUAUUUGACAGGCCCCAGUGAGGACUGAAUAGACAGCAGUGUCUGAUAAAUGGCCUGUGUCCGUCUUGAUCACAAAGCACUCACACCAAGCGAGACACCAACAUAUAGUAUGUAUGAGUGAGUGAGUGUGGGCAAGUCCAACGUUCUCAAUAGACCUUUGAUGUCACACUGUCAGUGUGUCCUGCUAAUCAAUGGAAUGGAAAUCACCAACAAAAACAAUGUGAUUAACCAGUCAUGAUGCAUCUGUUUUUUUUUUUUUUAUGUGCUGUUGAAAAAUGUAAACGCAGAGCAGAUAGAACCUCCUUUGGCAGCAGUAACCUCAAUCAAGUGAUUGCAGUAAUUAAAGAUCAGAACUCUUUAUAGGGUCAGCGUUCUGCCGCAUCACCCAACUUCUGCUGAGUAAUAGCCGUC